GGGCUUCGAGGUGAAUUGGGCCCA
rnacentral:siRNA from 1 species